rnacentral:rRNA from 1 species
GCAAGUCGAGCGGAUGAAAGGAGCUUGCUCCUGCGAUUCAGACGGCGGACGGGUGAGUAAUGCCUAGGAAUCUGCCUGGUAGUGGGGGACGACGUUUCGAAAGGAACGCUAAUACCGCAUACGUCCUACGGGAGAAAGCAGGGGACCUUCGGGCCUUGCGCUAUCAGAUGAGCCUAGGUCGGAUUAGCUAGUUGGUGAGGUAAUGGCUCACCAAGGCGACGAUCCGUAACUGGUCUGAGAGGAUGAUCAAUCACACUGGAACUGAGACACGGUCCAGACUCCUACGGGAGGCAGCAGUGGGGAAUAUUGGACAAUGGGCGAGAGCCUGAUCCAGCCAUGCCGCGUGUGUGAAGAAGGUCUUCGGAUUGUAAAGCACUUUAAGUUGGGAGGAAGGGUUGUAGAUUAAUACUCUGCAAUUUUGACGUUACCGACAGAAUAAGCACCGGCUAACUCUGUGCCAGCAGCCGCGGUAAUACAGAUGGUGCAAGCGUUAAUCGGAAUUACUGGGCGUAAAGCGCGCGUAUGUGGUUUGUUAAGUUGGAUGUGAAAUCCCCGGGCUCAACCUGGGAACUGCAUCCAAAACUGGCAAGCUAGAGUAUGGUAGAGGGUGGUGGAAUUUCCUGUGUAGCGGUGAAAUGCGUACAUAUAGGAAGGAACACCAGUGGCGAAGGCGACCACCUGGACUGAUACUGACACUGAGGUGCGAAAGCGUGGGGAGCAAACACGAUUAGAUACCCUGGUAGUCCACGCCGUAAACGAUGUCAACUAGCCGUUGGUAGCCUUGAGCUCUUAGUGGCGCAGCUAACGCAUUAAGUUGACCGCCUGGGGAGUACGGCCGCAAG